rnacentral:rRNA from 1 species
UACGUAGGGUGCGAGCGUUGCCCGGAUUUAUUGGGCGUAAAGGGCGCGUAGGCGGCCACGCACGUCCGUUGUGAAAUCGCCCGGCUCAACUGGGCGGGGUCAGCGGAUACGGUGUGGCUCGAGCAAGCUAGGGGGCAAUGGAAUUCCCGGUGUAGUGGUGGAAUGCGUAGAUAUCGGGAGGAACACCAGUGGCGAAGGCGGUUGCCUGGAGCUUUGCUGACUGCUGAGGCGC